rnacentral:rRNA from 1 species
CCUGGCUCAGGAUGAACGCUAGCUACAGGCUUAACACAUGCAAGUCGAGGGGCAGCAUGGUCUUAGCUUGCUAAGGCCGAUGGCGACCGGCGCACGGGUGAGUAACACGUAUCCAACCUGCCGUCUACUCUUGGACAGCCUUCUGAAAGGAAGAUUAAUACAAGAUGGCAUCAUGAGUCCGCAUGUUCACAUGAUUAAAGGUAUUCCGGUAGACGAUGGGGAUGCGUUCCAUUAGAUAGUAGGCGGGGUAACGGCCCACCUAGUCUUCGAUGGAUAGGGGUUCUGAGAGGAAGGUCCCCCACAUUGGAACUGAGACACGGUCCAAACUCCUACGGGAGGCAGCAGUGAGGAAUAUUGGUCAAUGGGCGAGGGCCUGAACCAGCCAAGUAGCGUGAAGGAUGACUGCCCUAUGGGUUGUAAACUUCUUUUAUAAAGGAAUAAAGUCGGGUAUGGAUACCCGUUUGCAUGUACUUUAUGAAUAAGGAUCGGCUAACUCCGUGCCAGCAGCCGCGGUAAUACGGAGGAUCCGAGCGUUAUCCGGAUUUAUUGGGUUUAAAGGGAGCGUAGAUGGAUGUUUAAGUCAGUUGUGAAAGUUUGCGGCUCAACCGUAAAAUUGCAGUUGAUACUGGAUAUCUUGAGUGCAGUUGAGGCAGGCGGAAUUCGUGGUGUAGCGGUGAAAUGCUUAGAUAUCACGAAGAACUCCGAUUGCGAAGGCAGCCUGCUAAGCUGCAACUGACAUUGAGGCUCGAAAGUGUGGGUAUCAAACAGGAUUAGAUACCCUGGUAGUCCACACGGUAAACGAUGAAUACUCGCUGUUUGCGAUAUACUGCAAGCGGCCAAGCGAAAGCGUUAAGUAUUCCACCUGGGGAGUACGCCGGCAACGGUGAAACUCAAAGGAAUUGACGGGGGCCCGCACAAGCGGAGGAACAUGUGGUUUAAUUCGAUGAUACGCGAGGAACCUUACCCGGGCUUAAAUUGCAGAUGAAUUACGGUGAAAGCCGUAAGCCGCAAGGCAUCUGUGAAGGUGCUGCAUGGUUGUCGUCAGCUCGUGCCGUGAGGUGUCGGCUUAAGUGCCAUAACGAGCGCAACCCUUGUUGUCAGUUACUAACAGGUUCCGCUGAGGACUCUGACAAGACUGCCAUCGUAAGAUGUGAGGAAGGUGGGGAUGACGUCAAAUCAGCACGGCCCUUACGUCCGGGGCUACACACGUGUUACAAUGGGGGGUACAGAGGGCCGCUACCACGCGAGUGGAUGCCAAUCCCCAAAACCUCUCUCAGUUCGGACUGGAGUCUGCAACCCGACUCCACGAAGCUGGAUUCGCUAGUAAUCGCGCAUCAGCCACGGCGCGGUGAAUACGUUCCCGGGCCUUGUACACACCGCC